UUUUUUUUUUUUUUUUUUUUUUUUUGGAGCUGGGGACCGAACCCAGGCCUUGCGCUUGCUAGGCAAGUGCUCUACCACUGAGCCAAAUCCCCAACCCCCCAUCUAAAAUUUUAAAUGUUAAUUCAUGACAAGUGCCCACAUUCAGUACCACUGGAUGAUUGAACUUCCCAAUGCUAGUAAGGGGGAACGUUGUCACAGUCAUUCUGGAAACUCUUCCUCCUCCCUCUACCUUCCAUAUUAACUAAAAUGAGUGAGUAUCAGCUCCUGCCGGAUAUCGGUCAGCCUCUAAGUCCAGAGACUCCAUUUGCUCAUCCUCGCCCUCAGGGGGCUGCUCAAUGGGUCCAGUCACGGGAGAGGACCACACAUCCAUCCCGUGUUCCAGGGAAAUGUUGUGAAGGACACAGCAAGCUAAGAUGAUGUGGCUGGAUUUCUCCGGUGAGUACUGCAGCGCCCCUUUCGAUCCAUCCAGGCACCGGAACCUACAGCAGAGGGUCCGCAAAGUCUUCUCUAUCACACUGUGAGUUGCAGAAUGGGCCCUAUUAUAGCGAUACUCUGCUGGAGUUUCAGGAAUAUGCAGUGGAGUCAAGAGCCAGAAGCCAGCUAUCUUUGGGCAUCCCAGUUUCAAACUGACUGGAUAAAGAAGACUGCUGUAGCACAGCACAGUCCUGCAGGCUACCUGGCCAGCUUGUCUCCACAGUCAUCAGUGCCCCUCUGAUGUCACAUACCACCAGGCAGUUUAAAGAAUGCAGACCCUUCCGGUUCACGUAAGAGAGGUCUUCAGCAUUUGGUGCCUUGAUUGCUACAUGGAUACAGUCAACUGCCCCUAUCACCCCUGGCAUCCCUGCCAAUCCAUAGAAUUCGUCCUUAGAGACUGUAUGGCAGCUUCGUCAGCUGGAAAGUGAAUAAACUGUGAGGCCCGCUCCACAAGGGCUUCAGUGACGUUGGCAACACAGCGACUCAUAGAGGCUUGACUAAUUCCAAUUGCAUCUCCCAUUCGAGUCUGGAAGGAACCUGAGGUAUAAAACCCUAAUGCUGCCAUGAUCUGUGUCUCUGGGCUAAUAGCCCUAGAUCGCUGAGUAGGUCGAGAAAGACUUGCCCCCAAGAGUUCCACUAAGAGUAGUAAAUGAAUUGUCGGGGAAAUCCAUACAUGGACAUCAGGUAUUCAUCAGUUACAUCAUCCAGCUUAAAACGGUCCAAGGUCCGGUGACCCUCGGCCAUAGAGCAAGAGAUCACAGUCAAGCACUGUUAUUGGUAUAGCCAUUGC
rnacentral:lncRNA from 1 species